GAUGAAGAACGUAGCGAAAUGCGAUACUUGGUGUGAAUUGCAGAAUCCCGUGAACCAUCGAGUCUUUGAACGCAAGUUGCGCCCGAAGCCAUUAGGCCGAGGGCACGCCUGCCUGGGCGUCACACGUCGUUGCCCCCCCAUCUACUCCGUCGGGAUUGCGGGGGGCGGAUGAUGGCCUCCCGUGCGCCUCGUCGCGCGGUUGGCAUAAAUGCCAAGUCCUCGGCGACGCACGCCACGACAAUCGGUGGUUGCGAAACCUCGGUUGCCCGUCGUGUGCGGUCGUCGCGCAUCGAGGGCUCGGAAAAAUUGCCGGGCUCCGGCUCGGCUUUCAACGCGACCCCAGGUCAGGCGGGGUUACCCGCUGAAUUUAAGCAUAUCAAUAAGCGGAGGA
rnacentral:misc_RNA from 1 species